rnacentral:rRNA from 1 species
AGUGAACGCUGGCGGUAGGCCUAACACAUGCAAGUCGAACGGCAGCACAGUAAGAGCUUGCUCUUACGGGUGGCGAGUGGCGGACGGGUGAGGAAUACAUCGGAAUCUACUUUUUCGUGGGGGAUAACGUAGGGAAACUUACGCUAAUACCGCAUACGACCUACGGGUGAAAGCAGGGGAUCUUCGGACCUUGCGCGAUUGAAUGAGCCGAUGUCGGAUUAUCUAGUUGGCGGGGUAAAGGCCCACCAAGGCGACGAUCCGUAGCUGGUCUGAGAGGAUGAUCAGCCACACUGGAACUGAGACACGGUCCAGACUCCUACGGGAGGCAGCAGUGGGGAAUAUUGGACAAUGGGCGCAAGCCUGAUCCAGCCAUACCGCGUGGGUGAAGAAGGCCUUCGGGUUGUAAAGCCCUUUUGUUGGGAAAGAAAAGCAGCAGGUUAAUACCCCGCUGUUCUGACGGUACCCAAAGAAUAAGCACCGGCUAACUUCGU